UCAGAUGCGAAAGCGUGGGUAGCAAACAGGAUUAGAUACCCUGGUAGUCCACGCCGUAAACGCUGUCUACUUGGAGGUUGAGGUUUUAGACUUUGGCUUUCGGCGCUAACGCAUUAAGUAGACCGCCUGGGGAGUACGGCCGCAAGGUUAAAACUCAAAUGAAUUGAUGGGGGCCCGCACAAGCGGUGGAGCAUGUGGUUUAAUUCGAUGCAACGCGAAGAACCUUACCUACUCUUGACAUCCAGCGAAGCCUUUAGAGAUAGAGGCGUGCCUUCGGGAGCGCUGAGACAGGUGCUGCAUGGCUGUCGUCAGCUCGUGUUGUGAAAUGUUGGGUUAAGUCCCGCAACGAGCGCAACCCUUAUCUUUGUUUGCCAGCACGUAAUGGUGGGAACUCCAGGGAGACUGCCGGUGAUAAACCGGAGGAAGGUGGGGACGACGUCAAGUCAUCAUGGCCCUUACGAGUAGGGCUACACACGUGCUACAAUGGCAGAUACAGAGGGCAGCGAGACAGCGAUGUUUAGCGAAUCCCUUAAAGUUUGUCGUAGUCCGGAUUGGAGUCUGCAACUCGACUCCAUGAAGUCGGAAUCGCUAGUAAUCGUGGAUCAGAAUGCCACGGUGAAUACGUUCCCGGGCCUUGUACACACCGCCC
rnacentral:rRNA from 1 species